rnacentral:rRNA from 1 species
UCUAACCGUCCGCGAGGACAAUACCUUGACAAUUUGACCUCAAAUCAGGUAGGACUACCCGCUGAACUUAAGCAUAUCAAUAAGCGGAGGA